ACAUUGCUAGAUUUGGGAAGAGCGUGGCUGGGAGCAGGCAAGCUCUUGGCUACAUUGAACUGGUUUCCCCAGGACUCAGUGAAGGCUGGUGUCAGAGGCUGCCUAAGUCCUGGUCCUUGGUAGAGGGUCAUAUACAAGGGCUUCUGAAGGUUAGUAUGAGGGGCCCUUGGUACUGCUGUGGCGCAGUGACCUUGGCCCCCUCUGGCUGUCAUGGGUUGAAAGCAUUUUUCCUGGAGCACCUUCUCUAUCCGGCUGACUGCACACCACCUUCAGACUGCUGCCUAACUGCAGAAUGAGAAUGUCUUGGUAUGGGGACCAAGAACUACCUUUCGAACGGGCUCCUGAGGUGACUCCUGAACACACUGAAGUCGGAGAAUCACAGGGCUCUGUGAACUUCCCUCCAACCAGUGAUGGUUUCUUGUUUACUCACAGCCGUCGGAACCUCACUGCUUUGUUCCCAGAGGAUGACUGCAAAAAUCCCUGAGCAACAAGGAGGCAGAAUGUGUUCUUCAGAAUUCUCUUCCAUCCAACACAUAUUUACCCAGUACUUCCCAGGUGCCAGGCACUCCUGGGCUGUAUCAGAUCGUCAGUUGAAAUCCUUCCCUCAGAACCUCAGGAUGAGACUGUAUUUGGAGAUGUGGUCUUCCAAGAGGUAAAAUGAUGGGCUAUGGUUCAGUGUGAUUGGUGAAGAGGAUUUUAAAACACAGACACAUGUAGAAGGAUGACCAUAUGAAGACCCAAGGAAAAGACAGACACCUACAAGCCAAGGAGUGGGGCCUCAGAAGAAAGCAUUCCUGCUGACACCUUGAACUUGGACUUCUAGCCUCUAGAACUGUGUGAAGAUACAUUUCUAUUUUUAAGCUCCCUGUCUGCGGACUCUGUGAUAAAAGUCCUAGCAAACUAUAUUGUUUUUCCUUAUAUUCUUUCCUUUUCUCAUCAUCUAAUACAUUAUACAUGUAUUUCCUGCUAGACUCUUCUCUUACUAGAACACACAGAAGGGCAAUGUCUUUUGCUUAUUUUGUCAGUGGCCGAAUCCUCAGUACGUAUAACAGGACCUGGUUCAUGGAACCAUGGAGGCCUUCAAUAAUACAUGUGCAGUUCUGAGCCAGUGAAUGAACAGAAAUUGGAGGUACUUCAUGAUAGGUUGACUACUUUCCAGGAUAAAUAUUGUCAUCCAGCCCCCUCCACCUCUAUCUACUUCUUCCCUGAUCUGUCCCAAGUGUUAGAACUUUGCCUGGGAUUAAGCAUCAGGGGAGUUUGGUUUGCUGAGAAGCUGCUCUGUGUUCUGAUGCUCUUCUGGCCAAAGUAAGUCCGACAACAUACUGUGAGUGCAUCUGGACAUGGAAAAAUCUGUGGAAUGCCCCCAAACUAUUCUAGAGUCUGAAGAAACAGGGUGUGAGUGAACCUUUGGAGAAGAGGCCACAUGGGUGAGUGGAACAAAUGAAAGGGCAAAAUAUGAGAAUAUCUGUAGGGGGCAUUUGUCACAUUUCCUGGCUGCAUCGACUGAAAACCCUUCUUGUGUUUGGAGAAAGCCCUGUCUCAGAAGCCCUGUAUUCCUAAGGUUGAACUCUGGGAAUAUUUUCCCAGCUGCCCUUGCAGCUAAAGCCUACUCACGUGACCUGGGCUUCACCAACACGACACACCCACCUGCUGGAAGGGGACUUACAUGGAAAGUGCACAAUUUAAGGAUGCCAGGCCAUCCGGAAGGUAUUUUCUGGUGAAGAUGGUGGAGCGCGUUUUGGGGAGAGGUGGCGGUGGAAAGGUCAAGUUCCUGAUGCAGAAGUGCUAGUGGCACUAAGGACAGCAGCAAUUGGAACAGAGUGAGAUCCUGAUUUAAGUAGUGACCCUGUGAACUGCGGCACCCAACUCCUGGUGGUGCUCAAAGCAGUUCUGUAGCAAAGCCCUGAAUGAAAUUUCUCAAAAUAGCUUUUAAGUCUAUUUUUCUUGUACU